GAUUAACGCUGGCGGCGUGCCUUACGCAUGCAAGUCGAACGGUCCCGAUAGCUUCGGUUGUCGGGAUAGUGGCGGACGGGUGAGUAACACGUAGGCAACCUGCCCGAAAGUGGGGGAUAACUUCGCGAAAGCGGGGCUAAUACCGCAUGUUGUCGGUCCCAGCCUGCUGGGGCCGACCAAAGCCUUCGGGUGCUUUCGGAGGGGCCUGCGGCCGAUUGGCUAGUUGGUGGGGUAACGGCCUACCAAGGUGACGAUCGGUAGCUGGUCUGAGAGGACGAUCAGCCACACGGGGACUGAGACACGGCCUCGACUCCUACGGGAGGCAGCAGCGAGGAAUUUUGCGCAAUGGGCGAAAGCCUGACGCAGCAACGCCGCGUGGGCGAUGAAGGCCUUCGGGUUGUAAAGCCCUUUUGCGGGGGAAGAAGUUCUGACGGUACCCCGCGAAAAAGCCACGGCUAACUACGUGCCAGCAGCCGCCGUAA
rnacentral:rRNA from 1 species